CCAGUAAGAGCAGAGUGUGAAGGUUUAAUUAGCAGAGUAAGAGCACAGAUCUGCUCAAAAUAUUGCAAUGCACACAACAUUAUGGGUGACAUACCAGAGUUCAAAAGAGGACAAAUUGUUGGGGCACGUCUUGCUGGCGCAUCUGUGACCAUGACAGCAAGUCUUUGUGAUGUAUCAAGAGUCACGGUAUCCAGGGUAAUGUCAGCAUACCACCAAGAAGGACCAACCACAUCCAACAGGAUUAACUGUGGACGCUGUAAGAGGAAGCUGUCUGAAAGGGAUAUUCGGGUGCUAACCCGGAUUGUAUCCAAAAAACAUAAAACCACGGCUGAUCAAAUCACGUCAGAAUUCAAUGUGCACCUCAACUCUCCUGUUUCCACCAGAACUGUCCGUCACCACAAUAAAUUAUUGUGGUCUAAAACCAGGUGUUUCAGUUUCAUUGUCCAACCCCUGUAGAUUUACUUACUAAAUAUCAGUACUGUCCACGUUUAAACAACAUCCAGACAUUUAAAUGCCUUUUAAAUCUCAUGUUCUGCUGUUUCUAUUGUUUUUAGAGAUGGAGAACAUGGCAGAAAUAAUCGCUGACUAAUCGACUAAUCGAAAAAAAUAAUCAUCAGAUUAUUAGUUAGUCGACUAGCAAAAUAAUCAUUAUUUGCAGCCCUAAUUACAGUAUAUAAAGUGGCAUAUUAAAGAAAUACCAAAAAAAAAAGCUAGGGGCCAAAGCACAUGUACGUUUUAUGUAUGUAUGUAUUUUUUAAAUAUUUUUAUAUUUUUUCUUUAUAAACCAAAAUGUCAAUAGUUUAUUCAAAAUAUGCCAAGAAAUGGCACUUGACCUUGAAAUAUUGUAUUAAUAUGUAAAUAUGCAUUAUGCAUUAUGAUGUAAAAUAUAAAAUAUAUAUCUAUAUAUAACAAAAGGCUACAUUAGCUAGAGAUCAUUGUUAAACCUCCUCAGGAGAUUUUCUUCAACUAGACACUUUUUAGUUAUUUUAUUUUAAUUUUUUAGAUCAAUUUCUACAUGGAAAGAAAGAAAGAAGGAAAGAAAGAGAGAGUAAGUGAGAGAGAGAGAGGGAGAGAGAGAAAGAAAGCAAGAAAGAAAGAGGGAGAGAGAGAGAAAGAAAGAGAGAGAGAGAGUGAGAGAGAGAGAGAGAGAGAGAG